rnacentral:rRNA from 1 species
GAUGAACGCUAGCGGCAGGCUUAAUACAUGCAAGUCGAGGGGCAGCAUGAAUGUAGCAAUACAUUUGAUGGCGACCGGCAAACGGGUGCGGAACACGUACACAACCUUCCUAUAAGUGGGGAAUAGCCCAGAGAAAUUUGGAUUAAUACCCCGUAACAUAAUGAUGUGGCAUCACAUUAUUAUUAUAGCUACGGCGCUUAUUGAUGGGUGUGCGGCUGAUUAGAUAGUUGGCGGGGUAACGGCCCACCAAGUCUACGAUCAGUAGCUGAUGUGAGAGCAUGAUCAGCCACACGGGCACUGAGACACGGGCCCGACUCCUACGGGAGGCAGCAGUAAGGAAUAUUGGUCAAUGGACGCAAGUCUGAACCAGCCACGCCGCGUGAAGGAUUAAGGUCCUCUGGAUUGUAAACUUCUUUUAUCUGGGACGAAAAAAGGCGAUUCUUCGUCACUUGACGGUACCAGAUGAAUAAGCACCGGCUAACUCCGUGCCAGCCGCCGCCGUAAUAC